rnacentral:rRNA from 1 species
CCUACGGGAGGCUGCAGUGAGGAAUAUUGGUCAAUGGCCGUAAGGCUGAACCAGCCAAGUAGCGUGAGGGAAGACUGCCCUAUGGGUUGUAAACCUCUUUUAUGCGGGGAUAAAGGUGUCCACGUGUGGCUGUUUGCAGGUACCGCAUGAAUAAGGACGGGCUAAUUCCGUGCCAGCAGCCGCGGUAAUCCGGAAGGUCCGGGCGUUAUCCAGAUUUAUUGGGUUUAAAGGGAGCGUAGGCCGGUCUUUAAGCGUGCCGUGAAAUUUUGUGGCACAAGCAUGAGAGUGCCGCGCGAACUGGAGACCUUGAGUGCGCGGGAGGCAGGCGGAAUGCGUGGUGUAGCGGUGAAAUGCUUAGAUAUCACGAAGAACCCCGAUUGCGAAGGCAGCCUGCCGCAGCGUUACUGACGCUGAAGCUCGAAAGCGCGGGUAUCGAACAGGAUUAGAUACCCGUGUAGUC